CUGCUUUCGAAAACCUAGCACGUUAAGUCCAGCUACGAUUACUGCUGAGACGUUAGUAUGUUCAAUUGCGGCGAGUUUCUAGUAAUUGUAAUAAUAAUGGAAGUAUAUUUUUAUUGCAGUCAUAGAUUAUAUGUUAUUACAAGAAGAAACUCACCGCAAUUCGACGUAUCGUUUUUUUGAAUGACAAUUGUGUAGCUGGCAAUGACUGAGCUUACUGUAAUUCUUCAUAUAUGUAUGUAUCUACAUAUACAUAUACAUAUAUAUAUAUGUUUCGGAAGCUUUACAUGUUCCGAGUCAGUAAUUAAAUAAGUCGCUAAGUGACUUAACUCCACUACUUUGCACGGAAAACUCUCUAGGUGUUUACUCUAACGAGUCGCUUAUAAUGUAAUGGAGUUUCUUCUAUUUCCGUUCCGCUGUGGAUUUGCAUGCGUUGCAAUGCGUAGCUAAUAAUUGCUAGACGUAGAGACAUAUACUAUGUAAAUCAAUUAUUACCCAUUCAAUGUAAACUUAAGAUUAUGUGAAAUACUCGUAUCAUUCUAAUACAAAAUUAGUCUGUAGAAUAUCUACUUAAUUUCUUAUGCGAGCUCAAAUGACUAGCGUAUAAGACAAUUGUUUGUGAAAAUAGGUGCUCUGCAGUAUGCACUCAUAUCAGUCAAACUAAUAUUGGAGAUACUGUAGGAGCAUGUUUAUAUAAUCCAAUUUACUACAAUUUACCAUAAUCCAUAUCAAUUCUACUUGUCCUUUUUUAUUCACUGUCCUAAAAGUUUACAAAACUCCAGUGUACAUACACCAAUUCGGUUAGAUGAAUCAAAGGGUACACAACUACUUGAAAUAGUUAAAGAAAUCGAAUGAAAUCAUAGUAUUUUAAAAAGGCAUUAUAAUCUUUGACUGUACAUUG